rnacentral:rRNA from 1 species
UACAGAGGGGGCAAGCGUUAUUCGGAAUUAUUGGGCGUAAAGGGCGCGUAGGCGGCUUGGCAAGUGGAUGGUGAAAUCCCUCGGCUUAACCGAGGAACGGCCGUCCAAACUGCUUCGCUUGAGACCGGGAGAGGUGAGUGGAAUUCCCAGUGUAGCGGUGAAAUGCGUAGAUAUUGGGAGGAACACCAGUGGCGAAGGCGGCUCACUGGACCGGUACUGACGCUGAGGUGCGAAAGCGUGGGGAGCAAACAGG